UACGGAGGUGCAAGCGUUGUCCGGAUUUAUUGGGUUUAAAGGGUGCGUAGGCGGUCUUUUAAGUCAGUGGUGAAAUCCUCCAGCUUAACUGGAGAACUGCCAUUGAUACUGGGAGACUUGAGUACAGACGAGGUAGGCGGAAUUGACAGUGUAGCGGUGAAAUGCAUAGAUAUUGUCAAGAACACCGAUUGCGAAGGCAGCUUACUAGACUGUAACUGACGCUGAGGCACGAAAGUGUGGGGAUCAAACAGG
rnacentral:rRNA from 1 species